UGUAAAUCUUUCCUCUUUAGAUCAUUUCUUAAAAAGGAAGGAAUAAAUGAACAUUUCUAAUUAUAACAACCAAGACAGCCUUUGCUAGGGAGACUGGGAUUUAGAUGCAUAUUUGUACUUUAUUCAAUGUGUAUUCUUAAUUAGAUUGAUUAAAUGGUUCCUCCUGUUACCACACAACCUUUCAGCCAGAUCAGAAGCAGGAUGUAUUGUUAUUAAAACUAACAUUUUAUAUGAAGUCUUCCCUUUUCAUCUUGUUCCGGCUCUGGCAGUUUGGUUAGCAGCCCUGCAUACUAAGUUUAGGGUUUUGGCAUCUCAUUGCAAGAAUGGAACAAAUGUUUUUCAGUUCUUGAAGUUUCAUUGACUUCUUGACAUUGUGUAGUUAAAAAAAACAGACGCAUUAAUUGGUGCACAUGAGCCAUUCUGCUCGUCAGGAGUUGCUGAACACUGAAUUGUAUUUAUUAAAAUGAACUUUUAGCAAGCAGUAGAUAUUGGUUAGUGGCAUAAAUAUAGAGGAAGCAGAUUGAAACCCAUUCCCUGGGGUCUAUUUCUUUUAUUACUUCCCCCCUCUCCAGCCGUUCUCCUACCUGAGAGCUGGUGGUGAGCAGAGGAUGUGAGUAGCAGGUGGGUGGGCCAAUGGUUGCUGUAUGUGCAAGGCCCCUCCGAAAGAUUUUUUGGGGGGUGGGAGCUGGUACCAUUUAGUAAUGCCACUUAUAACAAAGUAUUUUAUAUUUUUUUAGCCUUUAUCAUUUCAUUAUCUGCUCCAUAUUACAGGAAGGCCAUCUCUCAUAGACUCCAUUUUAAUCAAAUAAUUCACAUUUUUAAAAAUGAUUUCCUUUUUCUCUGUAAAAAUAAAACGGUGCCUUUUACUCGAUAAGCUGCAAAACAAAACUAUUAGGGUUAUUGAAUAUGUAAGUGAUAUUUUGUUGAUCCAAAUUAUAGAAAGAUCUAUUUGGAAAAUUCCAGGUCACAAGCAAUCUGGAUAACAGGCCAUAUAACUGUAGUAGAAGAUAUAAAGCGAGUAAAGAAAUCCAAAAAAAAACAGGAAAACUAGGACAAAGAUGGUUAAGAAAGAGAAGAAUUUUGGCAAAGGAGAGAGGAAGAAUGAGACAAGAGAAUAAGAUGAAAACUGCUAGAGAAGAGACACGAGGAAAUAAAAGAUAAAAAGAGAUGUACAUGUCCUGAGCUGUGAUAAAGAUACAAAAUGGCGUCUAAUAGCUGUGUCAUUACCACAAGAUUCCAAGCACUCCAAUCCUCAAAUCAAAAUGGAAUCCAUAAUGGAGGUCUUGCAUUGCCUUUGUAUCUAAACAUAGUCUCUCCUUCCACUUUGUGACCCCAUAGGAGUGCCAGGAAUGCAUCAGACUUGACAGAAUGAGAGCUAUGGCUGCCAAUGACCUAGGAUUACAAGAGGGAGGAACACAACAAAUGUUAAAGGAACAGUAGAAUUGAAGAAUAACACUGUAUACUAGAGUUUAUGCUGUGCAUCCUGUGCCUUUUCUCCUUUAUCAGCUUUGAAUGGCUGGCCCAUGGCUACACAUGCAGGUUGUUUAUAUCAACUAUAGUAGUCUUCUUAUUACUACACCAAUAAGGGCAUAUCGCAAAACUCUUACACCUAUCAUGCUGGACACAGCUAAGUUGCUAAUACCUCUAUAUUGGAAACAGCAAGAACCACUCACAAUCAGAGAAUGGUUGCAUAGGAUGGAGGAAAUUGAAAGAUUUGAGAGAUAUAAGACAAUAUCAACACAGGAAACACAGAAACACACUCAAAAAUGGUUCUAUUGGCAUCAAUUUAAGGAGUCAGAUAAAUACAAAACUGUGAUAUAGCUUUAAAUAAGUUUAUUUAAGAUUAAACAGAUCAUUCAAAAACUGUUCAUGCAUGGUCAUAAUUCAACAAGUGGUGUUCAGCCCUUGCUUAGAUUAACGACUUCUGGACUUUUUCACUUUGCCACACAUAAUGAGAUGGUUGUUGGGAGCUGGUCCUCCAUCUGGAUAUGAUCAUUGAUUGCCUUGGGUAGGCAUUACAACGGUAUUGUCUAGAUUAGUAUAUUUAAAGGGACCUAGGGACGGUCUCGUUGCUAUUAAUUUAAAUGUUCUAUUAGAUCACCCACAUUACGCUUUGAUCUACAAUUACCUAAUGCAGCUGGAGGUUUUCUCCCUGGACCCACCUUCCUUCCAUAUCCCACCUGCUUUUCUUCUUUCUAUCCUCUUUCGGUUUUCGUGUUUUCACACAUUCAGAGGUGGACAAGAUCACCACGCACGGAUAUGUUACUCAUGUACGGUUAGUAUCCUUUAUAUCCAGAUUUUUUGUUUAAUUUUUGUUACCCUUUCUGAAUGUGAAUACUUCGCUUUUUCUGUACCACUGAAAAUUUCUAAUAAAAACUUAAAUUUAAAAGUCAAA